AGAGCAGGACGCGUGGUCGCCCGACGCUCCUGUGUCAAACGAACAGCGGCGUGUCCGACCGGGGGUGUGUUUAUCCCGGGUCAUGACCGCCCCGCUGGAUUGUGCGAUGCAGGAUCGUGCGGGAGGAAAGUCCGAGCUCAGCAGGGCAAGGCGGUCGUUAGCAACGACUGGGGGUGACCUUAAGGAAAGUGCCACAGAAAGGGAAACCGUCUCGGCAUUCGUCGGGAUAAGGGUGAAAAGGUGAGGUAAGAGCUCACCAGAUGGGGUGGCGACAUCCCAUGCUUGGAAAACCCCGCCUUGAGCAAGGUCGAAUAGGUUCCGCUUUGAGAACUGCCCAUUCGAAUCUCCGAGCAGCCCGAGGCUGAAGGAGAGGCGGAACGGGUAUUGACCGCACGAGCGUGGCAGUAAUGCCGCGCCACAGAUGAAUGACCACGGGUACAGAACUCGGCUUACGGCCUGCUCUGACA
rnacentral:RNase_P_RNA from 1 species